AGGUUGGCCUGGCCUCAUGUCAUUCUUCUUUGAAUAUCCCCAGCGCAGAUCCCUCAGUUACCACGUCUCCAUAUUUCCAUGCUGAAAUAUUCUCCUGCAGCCAGUCGUGUUGCUUAGUGGAAAAGCUGUCACACGGGGAGAAACCAGGAGAUGGGCAGUGAAGGACUUCAACCGUUCAAUGUCAGCACGCCUUCAGCAUUUCUGCGAGCUGAGCCGGUUGGGAACGAAGCAGCAGCCGUGGGAAUUGUUUUGCGCCAUCAGUGAGAAGCACUGCGGCACUGCCUGACCGUGCUCCUGUGGCUGGAGCCUACAUAAAGCAUUCAGCAUACACUUCAAAAUGCUCCAGGGUGCGGAUGCUCCUGGUGCUCUGAUUUUAUACUGGCUUUGCCACAGACCCAUGACCAUGUCACCAACUCAUUGCCCCUUGGAGGGUAUAGGAAGAAGCUGUGCAGCUGUGGAGGUGACAGCGGCGCUGAGCCUCGGUGGGGGGUCUCCGUUCCCUGCCUGAGAGCAUCAGGGCGAGUCUGUCUCCGACAUGGGUCGAAUCUGGAUAUGCAUAAUGAAGGAGGCACUCCAAAUUACUCUGGUUCUCAGUCUUUCCAGUUCUGAAAUCUUAAUCUGUCUCUCUCAUGCAUAAGAUCUGCUUUAUGGAAGUGGUGGUUAAUGUAAUUGUUUUUCAGAAAGCAUUUUGACCCAUGUCUGUUGGAGUCUAUAGGGUAAAAAAAGUUGAAUGUGGCUCACGUCUGUCAGUGUGGAUGUAUGGAAAUAGCAACAUCAUUUCUUGUUAGACUGAUGUUCCUUUUUAAACUCGUAAAAGCGUCUUGUAAUGUUUGUUGCUGUAACAGUUGUCUUCAAACUGCAGCUGAGUUUCACACAUGGUGCUGCGGUGCUUUUAUCCUCAGCUCCCUUAGAAUUACAUAUGUCUGUGCCAAUACUUUUUUUUGGCCUCCACAUCACGACUUUAGAACAACUCUGUCCCUUUGGACAUUUGAAAGUUAAUCUCAACUAUAUUUUUUCCUUCUAUAAACCUAAAUAAUAGUAAAAUAUAACAAUUAUUAACAUACUUUUCCAUUUGUGGGAUAUCUCCAAAUUAAUUCCACAAAUAACUAGUACUAAACUUUGAAGAGCUGAAGACAAAUUCUGAUCAUGAAUAAACAGGAUCUGGAUUUUCAUCUCAUUACAGUGAGUCUGAAACUGGCUCUUAUAUUUCCUUAAUGUCCAGCAUAGUUUAACUAAGGGUGGUCUUCAAUCAAGUGCUGGAUGGAUGUGUGCCUACACGUGUACGUGUAUGAAACUACGUUCUUUCUAUCAAAAGAGAUUUCACUGGAUUUUUCCAGAGGAGUGAAAAACUGCAGGUUGAGGGAGGAAUUUUUUUUAAUUGAAACAUGUUAGGUGUGUCAUGGUUGUUGAGUGAGUGAAUCCACCAUGAUAGUGCUGUCUCCAGAGCAACUUUGAAAGCUACUACCUAGAAAGUUGAGCAACUAUGUCCUUCCACCUCUGCUUGUACAAUAUAUUUAAAGAAUGGCAACUGCAUGUAAAUGGAAAUAGUGGUAAACACUGGGGUUUUUAGCCCUUCAGUAUACCAGUCAUAUUAAUCAACUACUUCUUUCUCUCUCCUAAUAGAUGAAUUAUGAAAAGAAAGUGCUUUGAAUACAAGGAGAGGUGUUGUCUUGCGGCAUAUGUCCCUUUGCUGUAUGACGUCCAAGUAUCUUUACGAAAAGGGCAAGCUGGCUUUGUAUUUGCAUGGAAGCAAGGACCUAAGAAUACAGAUUCUUCUGGAAAUGCCAUCAAUAUAUAUGGAAAAGAAGCUGUGGGUUUGGCAAUGUCCUCUACAUCCUCUGAAGUUAGACGGGCAAGUGUCUUCAGAAAUCAUUUGCUUACGUAAAAUGCAAACUGACUUUGCCACUUUCAGCAGGAACGGGUUACGUGCACCAACAAGUAAAGAUACAGUAACUGGUUCCUUUAAAAAUUUUGGAGUGUUGAUGAGAAAAAUCCCAUCAUCAAUGAAGACACCAGCAAAGUGACUGAAGGAAUGUUCGUCCUCAGCAGAACAGGAAACCUUUUGCUACAUUCAGAACGCCCAUCUAGAUACCAGCAAGUACCCGGCCCCUCGCAUCCAGGGGAAACACCAGCUGAAGAGCCCAAGGGGAACCAGCAGCCACCAGUACUGCCGGACAGAUGGAAACUCAGAAUGAGUGGGAGGCUGGAAGACCCCCGGUGCUCUUGGGUUCUGAAAUGCCUCAGGCCUCCUGGAUGUUAGCCUGUAAUGUAUUACAAAAAACACCCCACAGCUCCAAAAUAAUCUGUUUCUUCUACUAUAAAUAGUCAUAGCUAUAGAUCACUCACUGCACAUGCCAAGCCUUGUGUUCUUUGGUUUUUUUUCCCAUCCUCAGUAUUGAGUUACUGAAUUUCAGCAGUUGCGGCUGUAGCUGUGAUGCUGAGGGAGCAGCGGGAAUGAAAUUUUUCCAAGACACAGUGUGUUCUCCCCUCCACGUCGACCAGAGCAGACAGACUCCCACACUGGCUGUGCAGGAGAAAGGACAGCUUGAGCUCCCACAGCCGCCCUGGAAAAAUCUCUUUUUGCAUUCAGGAUAUGUGGUGAGGGUUCACCAACUCAAGGACCAGCAGAGCCUGUCCUGCUUAUCUAAUUUGCAGCCUUGUAUGCAGAAUAUUUACUGGAAAAAAUGGAUUAUCGCUUUUUUUGAAACCAUCUUGCAUCAUUUUA